rnacentral:rRNA from 1 species
UGAUGACGAGGCACUGCGGUGCUGAAGCAACAAAUGCCCUGCUUCCAGGAAAAGCCUCUAAGCAUCAGGUAACAUCAAAUCGUACCCCAAACCGACACAGGUGGUCAGGUAGAGAAUACCAAGGCGCUUGAGAGAACUCGGGUGAAGGAACUAGGCAAAAUGGUGCCGUAACUUCGGGAGAAGGCACGCUGAUAUGUAGGUGAAGUCCCUCGCGGAUGGAGCUGAAAUCAGUCGAAGAUACCAGCUGGCUGCAACUGUUUAUUAAAAACACAGCACUGUGCAAACACGAAAGUGGACGUAUACGGUGUGACGCCUGCCCGGUGCCGGAAGGUUAAUUGAUGGGGUUAGCGCAAGCGAAGCUCUUGAUCGAAGCCCCGGUAAACGGCGGCCGUAACUAUAACGGUCCUAAGGUAGCGAAAUUCCUUGUCGGGUAAGUUCCGACCUGCACGAAUGGCGUAAUGAUGGCCAGGCUGUCUCCACCCGAGACUCAGUGAAAUUGAACUCGCUGUGAAGAUGCAGUGUACCCGCGGCAAGACGGAAAGACCCCGUGAACCUUUACUAUAGCUUGACACUGAACAUUGAGCCUUGAUGUGUAGGAUAGGUGGGAGGCUUUGAAGUGUGGACGCCAGUCUGCAUGGAGCCGACCUUGAAAUACCACCCUUUAAUGUUUGAUGUUCUAACGUUGACCCGUAAUCCGGGUUGCGGACAGUGUCUGGUGGGUAGUUUGACUGGGGCGGUCUCCUCCUAAAGAGUAACGGAGGAGCACGAAGGUUGGCUAAUCCUGGUCGGACAUCAGGAGGUUAGUGCAAUGGCAUAAGCCAGCUUGACUGCGAGCGUGACGGCGCGAGCAGGUGCGAAAGCAGGUCAUAGUGAUCCGGUGGUUCUGAAUGGAAGGGCCAUCGCUCAACGGAUAAAAGGUACUCCGGGGAUAACAGGCUGAUACCGCCCAAGAGUUCAUAUCGACGGCGGUGUUUGGCACCUCGAUGUCGGCUCAUCACAUCCUGGGGCUGAAGUAGGUCCCAAGGGUAUGGCUGUUCGCCAUUUAAAGUGGUACGCGAGCUGGGUUUAGAACGUCGUGAGACAGUUCGGUCCCUAUCUGCCGUGGGCGCUGGAGAACUGAGGGGGGCUGCUCCUAGUACGAGAGGACCGGAGUGGACGCAUCACUGGUGUUCGGGUUGUCAUGCCAAUGGCACUGCCCGGUAGCUAAAUGCGGAAGAGAUAAGUGCUGAAAGCAUCUAAGCACGAAACUUGCCCCGAGAUGAGUUCUCCCUGACUCCUUGAGAGUCCUGAAGGAACGUUGAAGACGACGACGUUGAUAGGCCGGGUGUGUAAGCGCAGCGAUGCGUUGAGCUAACCGGUACUAAUGAACCGUGAGG